rnacentral:lncRNA from 1 species
CACAAGACAACGACGAUGCCUCAGGUCAAAGGACUACUUACAUUAUUCCAACCAUUAGAGUUAUUUGCUUGACAUGUGAGUAGACUCUCCAUGCAAGUACUCUCGUUCGAUUGUGUUCAGUGAACUCAUUCCCUUAAUGAGCACCUACAUACUUGUCUUAGUGUCACAACACGAAUGGGAUAAGACUUUCCAUCCUUCCAAUUGAAGGGGACACAGUAUGUACCGGUCUACGCAUUGUCAGUAUCCCUCCGACAAUCCAAUGACCAGGAACCUUUUUGGACAUUUGGUUAUGUGAAGAAGGUCUCUGUAGUCUAACAUCAUUAGAUUACUUCUUCAAUCGAUCCAUUGUCUAUGGAUACACUAUUUAGGACAUAUAUCGUUUAUUGAAAUAGUCCUAAUUAGUAUCUUUGCCAUUUGAUGCAUAAGAGUCAUCCAUACAUCGAUUCAAUUGUCCUGAAAGGUUUCUUCCAAAGAUUCACUUUCAGGGCAUAUUUCCAACACAACCCGUACUCUAAUAUCAUUUGGCAACUUGCCACUCAUGCCACCAACCAGGUGAUGAAAUAUACAACCCGUACUCUAAUAUCAUUUGGCAACUUGCCACUCAUGCCACCAACCAGGUGAAGAAGGAA